AGGGGAUUCUGGGAUCCCACAACUGCUGUGGGUAAGACCAAUCAGUGGAGGGGUUUGGGGUCCCCACAGAUGCUGCGGGCACAAGUGGUGAACACGAGGGGAUUUGGAGGGUCCCUGCAGGGAUUGAGGGGUCCCUGAAGGUUUUUGGUGUCCCUGCAGACACUGUGGGUGUGGGUGCUGAACGGGGCCCUGGGCGCCCUGGCCCUGUUCCACCUGUCCUACCUGGGCGCCCUGUUCGAUGUGGAGGCCGAGGAUGCUGUGGAGGAGCAGGGCUACGGAAUGGCCUACACAGUGCGCAAGUGGUCAGAGCUGAACUGGGCCAGUCACUGGGUGACGCUGGGUUGCUGGGUGCUGGCCCGACUGCUGCGCUGAGGCUCGGGGAGGGCAUCAGAGAGUACGGCCACUCCGCACCACCGGGAGCGCCUCUCACCGCUCUCUUGCCGACAUUUCUCUGGCGGAAGUGACGCCGCGCGGCCGCUCUGGGACCAAUAAAGCGUCGCCUCGA